GCCAGGUGUGGUGGCGCACACCUGUAGUCCCACCUACUCAGGAGGCUGAGGCAGGAGAAUCGCUUGAACCCGGGAGGCAGAGGCUUCAGUGAGCCGAGAUCACACCACUGCACUCCAGCCUGGGUAACAGAGUGAGACUCUGUCUCAA
rnacentral:SRP_RNA from 1 species